rnacentral:rRNA from 1 species
GCGGCGGACGGGUGAGGAAUACAUAGCGAAUUUGCCUUUAGGUGGGGGAUAGCUUGGGGAAACUCAAGGUAAUACCGCAUGAUGUCGCAAGACCAAAGUGGGGGAUCGCAAGACCUCGCGCCUUUAGAGAAGCCUAUGUCUGAUUAGCUAGUUGGUGGUGUAAUGGACCACCAAGGCUACGAUCAGUAACUGGUCUGAGAGGACGAUCAGUCACACCGGAACUGAGACACGGUCCGGACUCCUACGGGAGGCAGCAGUGGGGAAUAUUGGACAAUGGGCGAAAGCCUGAUCCAGCAAUUCCGCGUGUGUGAAGAAGGCCUUCGGGUUGUAAAGCACUUUAGGUUGGGAAGAAAAAGGUUCUUCUAAUACGAGAACCCUUGACGGUACCAAAAGAAUAAGCACCGGCUAACUCUGUGCCAGCAGCCGCGGUAAUACAGAGGGUGCAAGCGUUAAUCGGAUUUACUGGGCGUAAAGCGUGCGUAGGUGGUCGUAUAAGUCGGAUGUGAAAGCCCCGGGCUCAACCUGGGAACUGCAUUCGAUACUGUAUGACUCGAGUUCGGUAGAGGGUGGUGGAAUUCCCGGUGUAGCGGUGAAAUGCGUAGAUAUCGGGAGGAACAUCAAUGGCGAAGGCAGCCACCUGGGCCUGAACUGACACUGAGGCA